GAUGAACGCUGGCGGCGUGCCUAAUACAUGCAAGUCGAGCGAACAGACGAGGAGCUUGCUCCUCUGACGUUAGCGGCGGACGGGUGAGUAACACGUGGAUAACCUACCUAUAAGACUGGGAUAACUUCGGGAAACCGGAGCUAAUACCGGAUAAUAUAUUGAACCGCAUGGUUCAAUAGUGAAAGACGGUUUUGCUGUCACUUAUAGAUGGAUCCGCGCCGCAUUAGCUAGUUGGUAAGGUAACGGCUUACCAAGGCAACGAUGCGUAGCCGACCUGAGAGGGUGAUCGGCCACACUGGAACUGAGACACGGUCCAGACCCCUACGGGAGGCAGCAGUAGGGAAUCUUCCGCAAUGGGCGAAAGCUUGACGGAGCAACGCCGCGUGAGUGAUGAAGGUCUUCGGAUCGUAAAACUCUGUUAUUAGGGAAGAGCAAAUGUGUAAGUAACUAUGCACGUCUUGACGGUACCUAAUCAGAAAGCCACGGCUAACUACGUG
rnacentral:rRNA from 1 species